rnacentral:rRNA from 1 species
UACGUAGGGGGCAAGCGUUGUCCGGAAUCAUUGGGCGUAAAGAGCGUGUAGGCGGCCCGAUAAGGCCGCUGUGAAAGUCCAGGGCUCAACCCUGGGAUGCCGGUGGAUACUGUCGAGCUCGAGUCCGGAAGAGGAGUGUGGAAUUCCUGGUGUAGCGGUGGAAUGCGCAGAUAUCAGGAGGAACACCAAUAGCGAAGGCAGCUCGCUGGGACGGUACUGACGCUAAGGUGCGAAAGCGUGGGGAGCGAACAGG